rnacentral:rRNA from 1 species
UAGGGAAUCUUCCACAAUGGGCGAAAGCCUGAUGGAGCAACGCCGCGUGUGUGAUGAAGGCUUUAGGGUCGUAAAGCACUGUUGUAUGGGAAGAAAUGCUAGAAUAGGGAAUGAUUCUAGUUCGACGGUACCAUACCAGAAAGGGACGGCUAAAUACGUGCCAGCAGCCGCGGUAAUACGUAUGUCCCGAGCGUUAUCCGGAUUUAUUGGGCGUAAAGCGAGCGCAGACGGUUGAUUAAGUCUGAUGUGAAAGCCCGGAGCUCAACUCCGGAAUGGCAUUGGAAACUGGUUAACUUGAGUGUUGUAGAGGUAAGUGGAACUCCAUAUGUAGCGGUGGAAUGCGUAGAUAUAUGGAAGAACACCAGUGGCGAAGGCGGCUUACUGGACAACAACUGACGUUGAGGCUCGAAAGUGUGGGUAGCAAACAGGAUUAGAUACCCUGGUCGUCCACACCGUAAACGAUGAAUACUAGGUGUUAGGAGGUUUCCGCCUCUUAGUGCCGAAGCUAACGCAUUAAGUAUUCCGCCUGGGGAGUACGACCGCAAGGUUG